CGUUGUCCGGAAUCACUGGGCGUAAAGGGCGCGCAGGCUGUGCUGCAAGUCAGCUGUGAAAUAUCUGGGCUUAACCUGGAUAUGCGGUUGAGACUGCAGUGCUGGAGUGCUGUAGAGGCAAGUGGAAUUCCCAGUGUAGCGGUGAAAUGCGUAGAUAUUGGGAAGAACACCGGUGGCGAAGGCGACUUGCUGGGCAGCAACUGACGCUGAGGCGCGAAAGCGUGGGUAGC
rnacentral:rRNA from 1 species